AUGUUGACACGACGCUGCGAACUGGGCCAGGUCUUGCUUGGAAUCCACUGUGGUGGACUGCUUUUGGCUCGUCAAGAGCAGCAGCAACCAUCAUCAGAGCUCGGAGGAGGCACCACCCAACACACUCCGGAAUCAAACUUAGCCAGUGGAUGCAAGCCCUCCAUCUCCAUGGAGGAAGAUGGCGGCUUGGAUGCUGCAAGCCUGGCGGAGGCGCUGCAGCUGGUCCUCUCGGCGUUUCGGGCCAUGGAGGGACUGGCCGCCCAGAUCCACUCCUGCCACAGGACCCGUCGGAAAUGGGAGCUUAGGAGGUGCCGGUCCAAGGUCGCCGACCCGGAUCUGGACCUUCUCAUCGCCCAUCUGCUCCAGAUCUGGAGCAUAUGUGCCGGCGCCUACCCACAGCGUGCCGGCGACAAGGCUCUGGCUCUGCAGGCCAGGGACGCCGUCCACUUCAUGGAGGCCCUGCAGGACAAGCUCCAGUACGGCUCAGCUUCCAAUUCGCCCAUGCCUGAUUCAGGCAGGCAAGUUAUUCAGACUGGGGUGUUUGUUGGGCGCCACAAGGAGAGGGAUGACGUCGUGCACAUGCUCAUCAAGCCAUGCGCCAAGGUUACUGCACCUGACAUGAUGGUUUCCAUUGUUGGUACUGCAGGAAUUGGGAAGACCACGCUCACUCAGAUGGUAUUCAAUGAUACAAGAGUUGCCAAGCAUUUUGAAGUCAGAUGUUGGGUGUCAGUUUCCACUGGUUCCAACACAAUGGAGCUCACAGCCGAGAUCUUAAGGUCAGCCCAGCCACCUUGGGAUAUAUCUGUUGACAAGAUGGUGGAUUUUCAAAUGAUUCAGUCCGAGCUCCGUCGACUUGUUACAUCCAAGAGGUAUCUCAUUGUUAUUGAUGAUGUAUGUAAUGGCAUGGACGAGAUCUGGCUGGACAUGAUGCCUCCUCUACAGUCAGCAGAUAUUGGUAGCAGAAUUCUGGCAACUUCUCGCAUCAACACUGUCCCUCACUUCCUCGGUGCGUCGCAGCUAUACCCUGUAAAUCCGCUCAGUAGCGACGAUUGCUGGGCCAUGCUCAAGGAACAUGCUUUUCCAAGUGGGCGCGAGAAUGCCUAUCCAGAUCUUCACCCAAUCGGGAAGCAGAUUGCUGUAAAAAUCAAUGGGUCACCUCUGGCUGCCAAGCUGGUGGGAGUUUUGCUGGGAGAUACAAGGACCAAAAAUCACUGGAUGAAGAUCAUGAAAACAGGAUUACAAGACAAUGCUGUUCUACCUGCCCUGCGCUUGAGCUAUAAGUACCUACCGGUACACCUCAAGCGGUGCUUCGCAUAUUGCAGUUUGUUUCCACAGAACUAUAAGUUUGAUCCAGCACACUUGUCCCGCCUUUGGAUUGCCGAGGGUUUUGUUCAACCACAAGGCACGGCUGACAAAAGGAUGGAAGACAUAGCUAGAGAAUAUUUUGGUCUGCUCCUUUCACGCUCAUUUUUCCAAGAAAUCAAGCUUGGAUCCAGGACUUACUACUUAAUGCAUGACUUACUCCAUGAUCUUGCAAAGUCUGUUGCAGCAGAGGACUGCUUCCAUAUUGAGGAUGGCAUGAAUUGUGACAUCCCAUCAACAGUGCGCCAUCUGUCGGUCACUGUGAAGAGUCUAAUUGGUCUCACAAGCUUCCCUGGGCUAGAAGAGCUGCGCACCUUGUUAAUCCGACCAUCACUUCUGUCCUCCUCCAGUUGCCUCCAAGAAGAUUUUUCUUUGAAUUUAGAAAAUAUCUUGUUGAAGUGCAAACAUUUGCGUGUUCUUGAUCUCAGCGGCUAUAACUCCAAAGAGUUGCCUCAUUGCAUUUAUGACUUACUGCACCUCCGUUACCUAUCUAUCAAUGCCACCAUCCAAAAACUUCCGGAGUUGAUUGGAAAGCUUCUGCAUCUGCAAACAUUGUGCAUCACUGGGAAAUGA
rnacentral:rRNA from 1 species